rnacentral:misc_RNA from 1 species
GGAGAAUUCCAUUUUCAUACUUGGAGGACAUUCAUAUGAGGUUCAUGAAAAACUAUGGUAGAGUGGCCCACUAUGCACCUGCUUAUGCAAUGAAUGAUGAGUUUUCGAGGGUCUUGCAUCAGCAAAUGGAAUUUUUCUCUAGUAACCCAAGUGUUGAUACUCUCAAUCGUGUAAGGGGUGAAGUUGGCGAGAUCCGUACGAUCAUGGUAGAGAACAUUGAGAAGAUACUAGAGAGAGGUGAUCGGAUUGAGCUUCUUGUUGACAAAACUGC